GACGAACGCUGGCGGCGUGCUUAACACAUGCAAGUCGAACGGAAAGGCCCUGCUUUUGUGGGGUGCUCGAGUGGCGAACGGGUGAGUAACACGUGAGUAACCUGCCCUUGACUUUGGGAUAACUUCAGGAAACUGGGGCUAAUACCGGAUAGGGGCUCCUGCUGCAUGGUGGGGGUUGGAAAGUUUCGGCGGUUGGGGAUGGACUCGCGGCUUAUCAGCUUGUUGGUGGGGUAGUGGCUUACCAAGGCUUUGACGGGUAGCCGGCCUGAGAGGGUGACCGGCCACAUUGGGACUGAGAUACGGCCAAGACUCCUACGGGAGGCAGCAGUGGGGAAUAGUGCACAAUGGGCGGAAGCCUGAUGCAGCAACGCCGCGUGCGGGAUGACGGCCUUCGGGUUGUAAACCGCUUUCGCCUGUGACGGAGCGUGAGUGACGGUAAUGGGUAAAGAAGCACCGGCUAACUACGUG
rnacentral:rRNA from 1 species